UAACACUUGUGCAAAAAGAUAAGUUUGGGGUAUGCAUCCGUAAAUUGAAAAUGUUGUUGAAAAAUGGCAAGUGCUAGGAAAAGAAAAAAAAGAAGAGAAAAAGUGUGUAGAAACAUCCGCUUCUACCGAAAAAAAGAAGAAAAAGAAAUGAAAAAAAAAAGCACUUGCCUUAGAAAUAGGCUCAUGCAUUAAAAUGAAGUUGAGUGGAAAAAGAGUGAAGAUUUGACGACACCCCAAAAAUAAAAAAUUUACACCAAGAAAAACAAAAAC
rnacentral:lncRNA from 1 species